rnacentral:rRNA from 1 species
UGGGAAAAGCUCAACUUUGAAAUCUGGCACCUUCGGUGUCCGAAUUGUAGUCUCAAGAAGUGUUUUCUGUGCUAGUCCAUGUAUGAGUCUGUUGGAACACAGCGUCAUAGAGGGUGACAACCCCGUUCAUGACAUGGAUACUAGUGCUCUGUGAUACACUCUCGAA